rnacentral:rRNA from 1 species
UACGGAGGGUGCAAGCGUUAUCCGGAUUCACUGGGUUUAAAGGGUCCGCAGGCGGAUUUAUAAGUCAGUGGUGAAAGCCUACAGCUCAACUGUAGAACUGCCAUUGAUACUGUAAGUCUUGAAUUUGGUCGAAGUGGGCGGAAUAUGACAUGUAGCGGUGAAAUGCUUAGAUAUGUCAUAGAACACCGAUAGCGAAGGCAGCUCACUAGUCCAGUAUUGACGCUCAUGGACGAAAGCGUGGGGAGCAAACAGG